rnacentral:lncRNA from 1 species
AUGAAAUUCAGAGGUACCUUCCAGCCUCAAAUAUUCUGUAAUCAACAAGGAAAAUUUCAAAACAAGUCCACUAGAAGAGCUGAACAACUGCCAUCAUCACCUGAAGGACAACUUCACACCAAAGCCAAGAGGGAUCUGCUGUUGAGAGCUGCACAGGAAGAUCUGACCCCAGACCCUGCCGCUGCAAGUAUGGUGGGAGAUGAUAGGGGCACGGGCAUGUUGGCUACAGUCCUUUCUGCUUCAGUUUUCAGUACUCUGCCAUUCCUCUACUCAGAUGCUCUACAUGAAAAGAACAGAUGA